rfam:Epulopiscium sp. Nele67-Bin005 Nele67M_MBin00263, whole genome shotgun sequence.
UAUAACUGAUAUAUCGAGGAGUGUAAUGACGGAGUAACGCCCCGAAACGCUCCCUUUAAUACUCCGACGUGCAUCGAAAUUGGUAAAAACUAAAUGUACGAAGCUCGGUGAAGUCGGCUGAAAUAUACCGUAAACUAAGCAACAAACGAAAGGUCACCUAGUCCGUGGCUGUAUAUGAUAGGUCGGAAGUCUAUAAA